GCUCAAGAUAGUCUGUAGACAGCCGAUUUUGUCGAGGAUUGCUUUUGGAUCUGCAUCUUUAGAAAUCGAAGGUGUUGAACCCCCCGAUAAGGGCAAAGAUAUCAUGCCGGAGGACUGAGAAUAGGAGUACUUCUACCACUCCAAAUUCCCAUUAUACUUACUGCAGUGGGCGGGUUUCCGUGGACCAACCUAUUA